rnacentral:rRNA from 1 species
GGGGGAUCUUAGGACCUCCCGCUACAGGGGCGGCCGAUGGCAGAUUAGCUAGUUGGUGGGGUAAAGGCCUACCAAGGCGACGAUCUGUAGCUGGUCUGAGAGGACGACCAGCCACACUGGGACUGAGACACGGCCCAGACUCCUACGGGAGGCAGCAGUGGGGAAUUUUGGACAAUGGGGGAAACCCUGAUCCAGCAAUGCCGCGUGUGUGAAGAAGGCCUUCGGGUUGUAAAGCACUUUUGUCCGGAAAGAAAUCCUCUUCGCUAAUACCGAGGGGGGAUGACGGUACCGGAAGAAUAAGCACCGGCUAACUACGUGCCAGCAGCCGCGGUAAUACGUAGGGUGCAAGCGUUAAUCGGAAUUACUGGGCGUAAAGCGUGCGCAGGCGGUUCGCUAAGACAGAUGUGAAAUCCCCGGGCUUAACCUGGGAACUGCAUUUGUGACUGGCGGG